rnacentral:rRNA from 1 species
UACGAAGGGGGCUAGCGUUGUUCGGAAUUACUGGGCGUAAAGCGCGCGUAGGCGGUGAUCUUUGUCAGAGGUGAAAUCCCGAGGCUCAACUUCGGAAUUGCCUUUGAAACGGGAUCGCUUGAGUCCGAGAGAGGAUGGCGGAAUUCCUAGUGUAGAGGUGAAAUUCGUAGAUAUUAGGAAGAACACCGGUGGCGAAGGCGGCCAUCUGGCUCGGGUACUGACGCUCAGGCGCGAAAGCGUGGGGGAGCAAACAGGGAUUAAGAAACCC